rnacentral:rRNA from 1 species
ACGGCGAGUGAAGCGGCAAGAGCUCAAAUUUGAAAGCUGGCUCCUUCGGGGUCCGCAUUGUAAUUUGCAGAGGAUGCUUCGGGAGCGGUCCCCAUCUAAGUGCCCUGGAACGGGCCGUCAUAGAGGGUGAGAAUCCCGUAUGGGAUGGGGUGCCCGCGCCCGUGUGAAGCUCCUUCGACGAGUCGAGUUGUUUGGGAAUGCAGCUCUAAAUGGGUGGUAAAUUUCAUCUAAAGCUAAAUAUUGGCCGGAGACCGAUAGCGCACAAGUAGAGUGAUCGAAAGAUGAAAAGCACUUUGAAAAGAGAGUUAAAAAGCACGUGAAAUUGUUGAAAGGGAAGCGUUUGCGACCAGACUCGCCUACGGGGUUCAGCCGGCUUUCGGGCCGGUGUACUUCCCCGUGGGCGGGCCAGCGUCGGUUUGGGCGGCCGGUCAAA